rnacentral:rRNA from 1 species
UACGAAGGGGGCUAGCGUUGUUCGGAAUUACUGGGCGUAAAGGGCGCGUAGGCGGACUGAUCAGUCUGGGGUGAAAUCUCCCGGCUCAACUGGGAGCGGUCCCUGGAUACUGUCAGUCUUGAGAGACCUAGAGGAGAGCGGAAUUCCCGGUGUAGUGGUGGAAUGCGUAGAUAUCGGGAAGAACACCAGUGGCGAAAGCGGUUCUCUGGGGGUUUUCUGACGCUGAGGCGCGAAAGCGUGGGGAGCGAACCGG